UCGAGGAUCUUUGGCAAUGAGCGCAAGCUUGACCAAGCGACGCCGCGUGUGCGAUGAAGGCCUUCGGGUUGUAAAGCACUGUCGAGGGGGACGAAGCCGAAAGGUUGACCGAUCCCUGGAGGAAGCACGGGCUAAGUUCGUGCCAGCAGCCGCGGUAAGACGAACCGUGCGAACGUUGUUCGGAAUCACUGGGCUUAAAGGGCGCGUAGGCGGCUUGCCAAGUCGGGGGUGAAAUACUUCAGCUUAACUGGAGAAGUGCCUUCGAUACUGGCAAGCUAGAGGGAGGUAGGGGCAUGUGGAACUUCCGGUGGAGCGGUGAAAUGCGUUGAUAUCGGAAGGAACGCCGGUGGCGAAAGCGACGUGCUGGACCUCUUCUGACGCUGAGGCGCGAAAGCUAGGGGAGCAAACGGGAUUAGAUACCCCCGUAGUCC
rnacentral:rRNA from 1 species